UCCGGUUUGGCACCGGCAGUCUCUCCAGAGUCCCCGGCAUUAUCCGCUGGCAACUGGAGACGGGGGUUGCGCUCGUUGCGGGACUUAACCCAACAUCUCACGACACGAGCUGACGACAGCCAUGCAGCACCUGUGACCGGAUCCCGAAGGGGGCCCCCUGUUUCCAAGGGGUUUCCCGUACAUGUCAAGCCCAGGUAAGGUUCUUCGCGUUGCGUCGAAUUAAACCACAUGCUCCACCGCUUGUGCGGGCCCCCGUCAAUUCCUUUGAGUUUCAGCCUUGCGGCCGUACUCCCCAGGCGGGGCACUUAGCGCGUUAGCUGCGGCACCGGGGGGGUCGAUACCCCCGACACCUAGUGCCCAUCGUUUACGGCGUGGACUAC
rnacentral:misc_RNA from 1 species